ACCCCCCUGAACCUUUUUUUUCUUAUAUUAGUUCACCCUCAGACGCUGAUGUGUCCACAUAAACCAGAUUUAUAAAAAAUGUUUGUAUACACGCGCUGUCCACGUAUAUAUUAGUGGACCCCAUGAAUUUACACGACUCACAGAUUGACACGUGUCACAAAACUUUACCUUUACCUUUUAUGAACCUAAUUGACCCUCAUUCUUCUUCCUAAUCUAAUCUCUACCAUCUUCUUCCUAAUCUAAUCUCUAGUUCUUCUUCCUUUUCUCUACGAUCUUCCAUUACUGACGUUGCUUGGAAAGCUUACUUACUAUUUCUUCUGAGAAAAGGUUAGAUCUUUACUUACUAACCCUAAUAACACAAAGUGAAAAAAAAAAUCAAGCUAUCGAAUUGGGGAAGAUUUCGAUUGUUCAAUACGAAAUUCGAGAA
rnacentral:lncRNA from 1 species